rnacentral:lncRNA from 1 species
GAGGGGCAGUGUCCCUACCCAGGCUUGGAGGAGGAGCCUCAAGGGGUGUGUGUGGUUGGGGGAGACAGGCGGUGUCACCUGUGCUUAGACCAGGGGCGGUGGGCGGGUACCCUUGAGGUGGCAAGGUCACACUGCUCAUCAGAAGUUUCUCACUAGGGUCUUCUCUGGCCCAGCCUUUGACUGAAGCUGGUCUGGAGACAGGGGCGUUAGAGAAGUGACUCAUAGAUGGCCUAAAUAAGCGGGGCCACUCAAGGACCCAGGACAGGGGGAAGAGGGCCAACCCAUCUGGACCGCAGGCAAACCCCAUGGCCUUUGAGAGAAGAGAGAAGAGGACCCGGAGCUGCACCAGGAACUCACAGAGGAUCAGGGAGAAUUCUGAGAACAUGCUACUGUGGUGCUGCCUAGAGAGGAAGGAUAAAUGAUGACAAGUACAUCUCUGAGUAACGUAUGGGCACUUGUUCAUGAAAACUGUUUUUCUGAAAGCUUGUGAAGGUCUUGAAAUACUCGCUAUCAGUUGAGGACAAACAUUUACACCCUCCUUCCACAGGGAGUUCAAGCAGGCUGGAUGGGUCCAUCUAUGGAUGAUCUUCCCCAGCCCCUUCCUCUUCCCAGCUCAUCCCUGGCUCUCUGUGUGAACAGGUCUCAUCAGUGGAAUGUGGUUGAUGAAGUGAGGUCUUCAAUUUUCUCAUCUACUGUGUGGUCAUGUUAUUUUCCUCAUCUGAGGCUUAAAAACUCACCUGCAUGCAGCACAUGACAGCUUAAAAUCUCUUGUGAACAAAACAGUAACAAAGACACCCACCAGCGUUGAGCAUCCCGUGUUGAUGACAGCGACCACCAGGGGUCAACGUCCUCUUCACAAUCCUGUGUCAGAGCAUCACUUGACUGAUUUCAUUAGCAACUUCCCAGGAGAAUCAGCUUACAAAAUACUUGUCCCAUUUUCCAUGCAGAUGUAACCCAUCUAUUUUACUGAAGAAAUGGGAAGAGCUGAAUGCUGAAUACACUGAAUGUCUGCAGGUUGUGCAAGUUUGUGACUUUAUCACUUUCUAAUUUCUGAUCUGUGUGGACCACUCUACAGAUUUUUCUCACUGGUGUGAUCAGCCUUCUGGAUGUCAAAUAUAAUAGACUUUCAAUAAUAUAAAAGUCAACACAAGCUCCUCAUGGUUUCAGUGCUCAGUGAUGACUCUAAACUUACACAAUGUGUUUCUUUAUUAGUUUUGUUUUCUGGUAUCUCUACUCGGCAUCUUCACCACACCCAUUUUAUGUUUCUUAUACAGGCUUUCUUCUAUGAAAUGCUAUGUCAUGAAUAUGCAAAUAACCUGAGAUCCACUGAGGUAAAUUUGGAUGUCUGUGCCCUGAGAGCAUCACCCAACAACCACAUCCCUCCUCUAUAGAAGCCCCUGAGAACACAGCUCCUCACCAUGGACUGUACCUGGGGGAUCCACUUCUUGGUGGCAGCUGCCACAGGUGUCCAUUCCCAGGUUCAGCUGUUGCAGCCUGGGGCUGAGGUGAAGAAGCCUGGGUCCUCAGUGAAGGUCUCCUGCCAGGCUUCCAGAUACACCUUCACCAAAUACUUUACACGGUGGGUGUGACAAAGCCCUGGACAAGGGCAUAGUGGAUGGGAUGAAUCAACCCUUACAAUGAUAACACACACUAUGCACAGACGUUCUGGGGCAGAGUCACCAUUACCAGUGACAGGUCCAUGAGCACAGCCUACAUGGAGCUGAGCAACCUGAGAUCUGAAGACAUGGUCAUGUAUUACUGUGUGAGAGACACAGUGCAAAAACCCACAUCCUGAGAGUGUCAGAAACCCCAGGAAGGAGACACCUGUGCUGACACAGAGGAGAUGACAAAGAUUAUUAGAUUAAAGAUUUGCUUAGAAAAUGACAUUAAGUCAUUAAAGAAAAGGAACAAUAUUAAUGUGUAUUUGAGAAAUUUUAAUUAUUUGAGAGAUUUUUCAUACAACAUUUAUUCUGUAAACAAAUUUCAAUGAUUAGAGAAUUAAUCAAAUUAAUGAAACUAAUAUAGAACUUCCUCUGAAGGUAUCUCUGUAAACAUUAAUUUCUUAAUCAGUGCUGUAAGUAUUUUGGAAUACAGACACAAAAUCACAUUUUAAGUCUGCAUUUAUAUCUAUUAAAAAUGCCAAAAAAAUCUCCUUUUGUGCGUGUAGCAUUUUGAAUUCCCACCAUCAAUGCAUGAUAGUUCUUGGUUUUCCACAUUCAUAUUGCCAUGUAUCCUUAUGAGAGUUGUGUGUUUUAACCAAUCUAGUAGGUGAGUAAUGGGAUCUAAUUUUUAUUUAAAUGCACAUGUCCCUCAAAAAGUUCAUAUUUAACAAUUUUCCAAUAACUUUUGUUGAGAUGCCU